rnacentral:rRNA from 1 species
GAUGAACGCUGGCGGCGUGCCUAAUACAUGCAAGUCGAGCGAAUGGAUUAAGAGCUUGCUCUUAUGAAGUUAGCGGCGGACGGGUGAGUAACACGUGGUAACCUGCCCAUAAGACUGGGAUAACUCCGGGAAACCGGGGCUAAUACCGGAUAACAUUUUGAACCGCAUGGUUCGAAAUUGAGAGGCGGCUUCGGCUGUCACUUACGGAUGGACCCGCGUCGCAUUAGCUAGUUGGGGAGGUAACGGCUCACCAAGGCAACGAUGCGUAGCCGACCUGAGAGGGUGAUCGGCCACACUGGGACUGAGACACGGCCCAGACUCCUACGGGAGGCAGCAGUAGGGAAUCUUCCGCAAUGGACGAAAGUCUGACGGAGCAACGCCGCGUGAGUGAUGAAGGCUUUCGGGUCGUAAAACUCUGUUGUUAGGGAAGAACAAGUGCUAGUUGAAUAAGCUGGCACCUUGACGGUACCUAACCAGAAAGCCACGGCUAACUACGUGCCAGCCGCCGCAGUAA